UACGUAGGGUGCGAGCGUUAAUCGGAAUUACUGGGCGUAAAGGGUGCGCAGGCGGUUAUAUAAGACAGAUGUGAAAUCCCCGGGCUCAACCCUCGGAACUGCGACCAAUACUGGUCGACUAGAGUGUGAGAGAGGAAGGUGGAAUUCCCGGUGUAGUAGUGAAAUGCGUAGAUAUCGGGAGGAACACCAGUGGCGAAGGCGGCCUUCUGGCUCAUAACUGACGCUGUAGCGCGAAAGCGUGGGGAGCGAACCGG
rnacentral:rRNA from 1 species